AACUCACUCCAGCAUUGACACAACACAGUCUGCUGAAGCAUUAAAUAUUAUCCUGCUUUGGAGCAACAUUUUCGCGCUAGCGCCGAGCCCGAGGGGGUAUGUCAGAUACCGAUUGCUUUGUUCUCAUUUGCCAUGGGGGAAAGAUGUAUCUUCCAAACGCUCAGGAAACUCACGUUGCUUUUGAGAAAUACUGUGAUUGGAUGUUCCAAACAAGUUUCACUGAAUCCUGACCCAAUGGACAUCAAAGCCAGGGAAGAGAUUGUCUUCAAGAGUCAUCGAUUGUCCUCAGCAAACCUCAGGGAAGGUAUUUUAAAUCUUUAAUGCAGUUUUAGGAACCUUAUUUUAGC